rnacentral:rRNA from 1 species
GGCAACCCUGACGGAGCAACGCCGCGUGUGGGAGGACGGCCUUCGGGUUGUAAACCACUUUUCUCAGGGAAGAAGGACUGACGGUACCUGAGGAAUAAGCCUCGGCUAACUCCGUGCCAGCAGCCGCGGUAAUACGGAGGAGGCAAGCGUUAUCCGGAAUCAUUGGGCGUAAAGCGUCCGCAGGUGGCGUAUCAAGUCUGCUGUCAAAGACUAGAGCUUAACUCUGGAAAGGCAGUGGAAACUGGUAGGCGAGAGUACGGUAGGGGUAGAGGGAAUUCCCGGUGUAGCGGUGAAAUGCGUAGAGAUCGGGAAGAACAUCGGUGGCGAAAGCGCUCUACUGGACGGCAACUGACACUCAGGGACGAAAGCUAGGGGAGCG